UCAGUUUAAGACUAAAAUCAUUUUGUAAAUAAACUCAAAACACUUAAAAAUACGACUAGAAUUAUAUGCUAUGAGCCUUAAGUAACGAAGAAUGAUAAGCGGGAUCUUUCCUAGCCUUGUCUAGAGUACCUUUGAGUAUGGGGCAUAGGCCCUAGCUAUUCAGAGUAUUCACAUUUGUUCAUAGACUUUAAUGCAAUUCAAAUCAAAAUAUUCUUUUCAAAUCUAAAAGCAAUCACAACUCAUCAAAUUCAUUUUUUCCUUGGGGCAUCUUUUCAAACCCUUUUCAGAAAGGACAUGUUAC
rnacentral:lncRNA from 1 species